rnacentral:rRNA from 1 species
GGGGAAUAUUGCACAAUGGGGGAAACCCUGAUGCAGCGACGCCGCGUGGAGGAAGAAGGUCUUCGGAUUGUAAACUCCUGUUGUUGGGGAAGAUAAUGACGGUACCCAACAAGGAAGUGACGGCUAACUACGUGCCAGCAGCCGCGGUAAAACGUAGGUCACAAGCGUUGUCCGGAAUUACUGGGUGUAAAGGGAGCGCAGGCGGGAAGACAAGUUGGAAGUGAAAUCUAUGGGCUCAACCCAUAAACUGCUUUCAAAACUGUUUUUCUUGAGUAGUGCAGAGGUAGGCGGAAUUCCCGGUGUAGCGGUGGAAUGCGUAGAUAUCGGGAGGAACACCAGUGGCGAAGGCGGCCUACUGGGCACCAACUGACGCUGAGGCUCGAAAGUGUGGGUAGCAAACAGGAUUAGAUACCCUGGUAGUCCACACCGUAAACAAUGAUUACUAGGUGUUGGAGGAUUGACCCCUUCAGUGCCGCAGUUAACACAAUAAGUAAUCCACCUGGGGAGUACGACCGCAAGGUUGAAACUCAAAGGAAUUGACGGGGGCCCGCACAAGCAGUGGAGUAUGUGGUUUAAUUCGACGCAACGCGAAGAACCUUACCAAGUCUUGACAUCCCUUGACAGGCAUAGAAAUAUGUUUUCUCUUCGGAGCAAGGAGACAGGUGGUGCAUGGUUGUCGUCAGCUCGUGUCGUGAGAUGUUGGGUUAAGUCCCGCAACGAGCGCAACCCUUAUGGUCAGUUACUACGCAAGAGGACUCUGGCCAGACUGCCGUUGACAAAACGGAGGAAGGUGGGGAUGACGUCAAAUCAUCAUGCCCUUUAUGACUUGGGCUACACACGUACUACAAUGGCGUUAAACAAAGAGAAGCAAGACCGCGAGGUGGAGCAAAACUCAGAAACAACGUCCCAGUUCGGACUGCAGGCUGCAACUCGCCUGCACGAAGUCGGAAUUGCUAGUAAUCGUGGAUCAGCAUGCCACGGUGAAUACGUUCCCG